GAUGCGCUCAAGAGGCCACGAUUCUCUGUAUCACUCUCCGCGGAGGAGAUUGAGGAAGACAUCUACGGCCUCACCGGUGCACUCCCGCGUAGCCGCCCUCGCGGUCGGCCCCGCAAAGUGCAAAAGCAGAUCGACCUGCUAUUUCCCGGCGCGCGGUUAUCGCAGAUCAACAUGGAGUCCUACCUGGUGCCGGACAAUCGCUGACCCUGUCAACUCAACAAACGCCUCCACCCAACAGUAAGCAAGCAAAGUGAAUUCGCAGAUCACAAUUCACAUUCAAUUCGGUGCUACCAUUGUUAGCUACAUAAUCCAUCGACUGAUUGUUCAGAUAGAGUCAGAGUUGGUAUGUAUGGAUCCCACCAGGAAACUAGUUGUAAGCAUCAAGUGAUGACCUGUUAGUGAUUCUUAAUUUUGAGUUGUACUCAGUGAUAGUCAUUUCCGUAAUAGCACUAUUGGUGGUUCGUUA